GUGUCAGCCGCCGCGGUAAUACAGAGGGUGCAAGCGUUAAUCGGAAUUACUGGGCGUAAAGCGCGCGUAGGCGGUUUUGUAAGUCGGAUGUGAAAGCCCCGGGCUUAACCUGGGAAUUGCAUUCGAUACUGCUUGACUGGAGUGUGGUAGAGGGAAGCGGAAUUCCGGGUGUAGCGGUGAAAUGCGUAGAGAUCCGGAGGAACAUCAGUGGCGAAGGCGGCUUCCUGGACCAACACUGACGCUGAGGUGCGAAAGCGUGGGGAGCAAACAGGAUUAGAUACCCCGGUAGUCC
rnacentral:rRNA from 1 species